rnacentral:rRNA from 1 species
UACGAAGGGGGCGAGCGUUGUUCGGAAUUACUGGGCGUAAAGGGCGCGUAGGCGGCGACUCAAGUUAGAUGUGAAAGUCCUGGGCUUAACCUGGGGACUGCAUUUGAUACUGGGUUGCUUGAAUUCGGGAGAGGAUAGCGGAAUUCCCAGUGUAGAGGUGAAAUUCGUAGAUAUUGGGAAGAACACCGGUGGCGAAGGCGGCUAUCUGGACCGACAUUGACGCUGAGGUGCGAAAGCGUGGGGAGCAAACAGG